AUCAGCUUCGCGCGUCUGCUAGGUUUCCUCGCCGCCGCCUCUUGUCCAGCUAGCCGCCGCAGUCGCCGCCGCCGCCGUCCUUCCCGAUGCCAUGCAGGGAGGUUAGCCAACGUCGCUAUCCUUCCCCAACGUCGCAAUCGCUGGCCUCCGCCCGUCCCUCUGCUGCUUCCCGUCCUGCUGCACAUCCGGCCUCCACACUACUCUCAUCUUCACGGCAAGCUCCAGUCCCAUCGUCCCCGUCCAAGCUCUUACCAAGAGGGAGUAACAUUCAUUUUAUGAUAGAUGGAUAAAGGUAAAUCUGGGGAAGCAAAUUGGGAUCCUGUUGCCCAUAAAAUUUUCCUUGACAUUUGUGUUGAAGAAGUGAAUGCAAAUAACCGUUUUGAUGGACAUUUGAGCCCAAUUGGGUACGAAAAUAUGAUAAGAAAAUGCAAUGAGCGGACAAACAGAAAUUAUGUUCGCAAGCAAUUCAAGAAUAGGUGGGAUUUACUUAAAAAAGAGUACAAUUGUUGGAAGAUGUUGAACCAAAAGGCAUCUGGAAUUGGAAUAGAUCCUGUUACUAGGAGCAUUGCGGCCACUGAUGAAUGGUGGGCGACUGAGAUACAGAGAAAUGAGAUUGCCGCCAAGUUUCGAUAUGCUCCAUUAGUUGAUGUGCAAAGAAUGAGUUUUAUAUUUGAUGACCAUAGUGUGACGAAUGCAUAUGCAAGGGUCGCAACUCCCUCGUCUCAAGUUGAUGCCUCUCAAAUUAACAUUGAAGAGGAUAAUGAGGACGACUCGGGAUGUGAGUUAGAUGUUAACCAAGUUACACCCACCAAUGUUUCAUCUAAAGGUCGAGAAAGAGAUCAUGUCCUUAUUCACCGAGUCCCAAGAUGGUCCAAAAGGCGGCAAAAGAUAGUGAUGAUAAAAUGGUAUUUAACCGUAUGGUUGACCUUUGGGAGAGGAGGGAGAUUAGCCGCAAUUCAGCGAUGUCUCAAACAAAUGUGGAUCAUGUGAGAGAUGAGAUAAAAGAGAUGACGACCAUGGUGGUGAACGAUGGAGGUCGGCCUGGAAGUGAUGUGUAUUUCUAUGCUCUACAGCUGUUUACGAAGAAGGAACAUCGCAAUGUAUUCAGUGCCCUCAAGGAUGAGAUUGCUAGUGUGAGGCUUGAAUGGAUCAAGCGGACAUGGGAUCUCUUUAUGAAAAAAGAUUAGAACUUCUGUGAUGUUAUUUGCUUUGAACAAAAUUACUUGCUAUCGACUUGUAUUGUUGUGAACCUAUGUUUUUUUUGGAACCUCUUGUUUGCACUCAGAUUGUAAUAUAGGGAAACUGGAUUAUUUGUCAUCAAUUCAUAUGCAUCAUGGAUCUUUUUUCUAGUCGUUUUUAAUGCCAUGUAUC